AGCGUUCAGUACAUCAAACAUUCACUUAUUUAAUUUAAUUUUACUUCGCACAGACUCUCCACACACUUCAAACUAACACUAUAGGUUAUCACAAUGAGGCUCAUAUGCGAGAAGAGCAAUUAUGAAAAAAAAUAUGAGUUAGCUACAAAAGGUACUACACAAACCUAAAAAUAUCAUUCAAGAUAUAACGUGGUUGCUUGCUUUCCUAGAUACAAAUGAUGCGCCGACAAAUACUCUUGUUCAGUGCAAAUUGGGAUGCAGAUGAUUCCGAAAGAAAUGAUAUGGGUGAAUUUGAUGCUAUGUAAAAAUGUCAUUUUUUCCCUAGCAAGUGAAACUUGUACUUGAAGAAAAGUCCAAUGGCGUGGUACAAGAAGUGUCAGAAAUUAAGUGGCUUAUGUUUGGUACAUCUCUAAGUGAUAGUUCUCAUGAAAGCCAGCAUGAACAAGACUGAUGGUCCAUCGUAAAUAUUUAGAAGCAUUCGAAGGAAUUGUAACCGCCAAUGAAGAAUGAUAUCCAUUCAAGCAACACGAUGGUGUCCCUCGAUUGAAGAUUAUUAAAUAUUAUCUUUUCUAGUUUCUCGUUUUCCAGUUAGACAUGAGAAAGUACAUUGGUCAUAUAAGCAAUGCUUUUGACUCAGAUAUUGUAUAUUUUAA